rnacentral:tRNA from 1 species
UCCCUGGUGGUCCAGUGGUUAGGACUCCACGCUUUCACUACAGGGGGCCCAGGUUUGAUUUCUGGUCAGGGAA